rnacentral:lncRNA from 10 species
AUCGCUGUGGCCCUCGACAGCCUGGGGGUCUCCACCAGAGUUGGCGAGGCCGGUGCUCCAGGAGCGGCCGCGUCACCCCCUGCCUCCCCCUGCAGAGCUAUUCUGCACCUCCUGACCCCCGAAACGUGGUGCAGAGGCUGCCGUGUGCCUCAAAGACCAGCUCCCACCUGGGAGAUUCAGGUCAGACAGACCCCUGGGCCCUCGCCAUGCCCGGAGCUGGUGACUGUUCAGAGAAGGUCCUACAUGCAGGCGGGCCCCCUGUGCUGGCCCACAGGCUCCAGGGACCCGUGACCAGGAGAUGCUGAGCUCAGCGUGUGGGGGUGUGAACAUCUGUCAAGUAAGUAAAGGCACGAGGGGAAGAGGAACCCGUCAGAGGAUGGGGGUCCAGGGCCAGGCAGGGGAUGGCGCCACAAGGACUGAGGGAGGGAGGACGCUGGAAUCCCGCUGCCGUGGGAAAUUAACCUGAGCAGCUCUUCAAGAGGAGGAGACCUUGGGCCAGUGCCUGGAGAACUGGCAUGGAGCCUGGGGCUGCGUUUCAGCCAUGCCCUGGGCAAGGCUCAGAGCAGCUGGCUCUGCAGGGACCUUGGCCACGGCUUCCUCCUGCUGCUCCCCAGUCUCGCUGCCUCCUUCCGGAAGGUGCACAACUGACCCCCCAAAGUGCUCCCUAAAGGUGACCCUGGGCUCAGGAGCAGGAGCUCCUGGGUCCUCCCACUCGCCUUCCGAAGGGCCCUGCCCAGCCUGGUGUCAGCAGGUAUCCCAGGGGGAGGGCCCCACGGCUCCGCACAGCCUGUCACCUGGCUGUGUGCAAGCCAGGGAGGUCACUGUGACGUCCCGAUUUAGUUUCCAACUUCGCUGGUAGAGUUGUGACAUUUUCUCUCAAAUCACUGCAUCCUGCCACAGCUGACUGAUCUUGCAUUUAAACAGCCGCCCGCUCUGUCCUGGUGCUCAGAGGAGGAUAGGGCCUGCCUGUUCAAUACCUAGACUGUGAGCACACGGGGCGCAGAGAGGCCCUUCAGAGCAGGACGCCUAAAAUAGCACCACCGGCGCCCUGCAGGAGCAGGCCUGCCCGACUCUUCCUGAGCACAAGGAAGGGCAGUCGCCCCGACACCCUGUCAAACUGAAUGUUUAAAGCUCUGAUGUGAGCCACACAGGCGGCCUCCGUGCUCCGGGCCUCGCUGUCAACCCACAGGUCUGGGCACCAACAUGUCCUAAAGUCCUGCCAGGUGUCGCGUCCUGCCUGCCCCACACCCCAGGUCCUGUGGGCAUCCCCAGCAGAUCCCUCCCCAGCUUUGUAGCUGUCCCGAUGGGUGCGGGACUCCCUGCUGCAGCCCCCAGACACAGGCAGGACCCUCGAUGUGGGUGGGGUCUCUGAUUUGUGGACGGAGAGAUCCAGCCUCGGUGGUCAGGUAAGGGGUCUGCGUUCAUCCAGGAAGGAAGGGACCAAAUGGGAGCUGAGCCCACUGGACCUGCCACCAGCCCGCAGUGACCCCCGGGGGCCUGAGCUUGGGACGCAGGAGUCCACCUGCCCCCAGCACACUGCAUGCGGAGCUCUGCCCUGUUUGUGGAAGCUUGAGGAGGGCUGGCCUCCUGGCACGGCAGAGAGGGACCCCCACUUCAGAGUGGUGGGGGAAGGAGGGGCGAGGGCCCUAGGGUGUCCUCCCUCAGUCCUCAGAUGAGGCCGCAGCGCCUUCAGAGACGAAAUCCUCCCUCGGUCUUCAGAUGAGACCCAGCACCUUCAGAGAUGGGAUCCUCCCUCAGUCCUCAUAUGAGACCCAGUGUCUUCAGAGACGGGGUCCUCCCUCGGUCCUCACAUGAGACCCAGUGCCUUCAGAGAUGGGAUCCUCCCUUGGUCCUCACAUGAGACCCAGCGCCUUCAGAGACGGGAUCCUCCCUCGGUCCUCAGAUGAGGCCACAGCGCCUUCAGAGAGGGGAUCCUCCCUCGGUCCUCAGAUGCAUUUGGUGCGAGCGUGUGAGGCCCAAGUUGGCUCGUUCCUAGCCCCGCUGUCACAUGCUGCAGGACCCCCUCUGCAGUGAGCAGGGCACCUUUCUGGCCACUGCAUUUCUGGGUGGCUCCACCGUGGUCUGGAGACUGCAGCGGCUCCACUGACCGGUUCAUGGCUCUCGAACAGUGCUAACUUCCUACCUCGAUGAAAUGUCUGUUAUCCGGUAGGACUAGUCCAUCCUUGCUUCUGCCACAGAAUUUUUUUGAAUCCAUGCAUAUUUGGUUUUCUAAAUAAAACUGAGAACGAACUUGCCCAGUUCUUCACACAUGAAUACACACACACACGGACACGCACACACACUCGUACAUAAGUUGGCAUUGGUACGGAAUCACACUAAAUGUACCGAGUCACUUAGGAAUAAUUAAUAUCUUUGUAAUACUGAGUCUUUCUACCCAAGAAUGCGGCAGUCCUUCCUUCUUUUUUCCAGUCUUCUCUUCCAGUCGCCAGUAACAUUUAUGGUUUUCUUUGGGAAUAUCUUGUAGUUCCUAGGCAUUUUAUCUGUGCUGCUGCGGUUGUUGUAAGUGGGAUUAUUUUCUCAUUUUUCUUCUAACUGGUCACUGCUUUCUAGGGAGUCUGUGGCUUGUCACCCUGUGUUAUGCACCUGCUCUGAGGGCGCCCUCUGGUCAGGGAUCAAGUCCUGGUUGUGCAGUGCACAACCUGACCACCCUGACAUGCCAGUGCCUUCACCUCCACCUUUCUCAGAUUUGUGCCUCUGAUUCCUGUCUUUGAUCAAAUUUCGUCAAGGUCAUGUCGAACAUCCUUGCCUUGUUUCUGACAGUGAAAAUGGCCAUAAUAUUUCCCGUUAAGUGGGAUGUUGUACAUGCCCGUUCAUUCCUAAUUUAUUUAGGGUUUUUACACAAGAAUGGACGCUGGAUUUUAUCAAGUGCAUUUUAGACAUCUAUGGAAGUAAUCACAUUUUUUCUUUUACAGCCGGCAACAGGAGGAAUUAGAGUCAUCAAUGUCGUAGUGUUAAAUCGUUGGCUGGUCCCAAUGGGUCAUUCUUUCUGAUCCACUGCCGAUUCUGCUGGCUAAGAUCCUAUUUAAGAUUUUUACAUUGACAUUCACAGGCAAGACUGGCUUGUAGCUUUCACUUUUGUGCUACCUUCAUCAAAAUUGAAUGUCAACAUUAUUCUGCCUUUGAAAAUUAGUUUUGAAGCUCUCUUUCUUCUCCUAUGCUCCAGAAUCUUUUAAAAAGCAACAGAGUGACCAUCUCCAUAAAGAUGAUGCACAUUUUCUCUGUGAAAUUGUCUGGCCUGAUUUUCUGGGCAGGGCUGGGUAGUUCUUAACAGUUUUCUCUGUCUCUUCUACAGUCAUUGGUCCAUUGAGAGAUUUUCUCUCUUUUGGGGGAGUUUUCAUACCUACAUUUUCCUAGAAAAGAUAAAAUCCAUAGCAGCAGAGUGCUGCCAUAGGAUUCUUCACUGUAAAUGUGUGUGAUGUCUCCUUUUCCAUUUAUUAUUUUGUGAUCUGUAUUUUCUCCAUUUUUCUUAAUUACCAACAGGCUGAUCAGGUGCUGGGUUUAUUUAUUGUUGCUUUGGUUCUUCUGUUUUCUAAUUAACUUCUAUUUUUAUCUUUUUAAUCCCUUCCUUGUACUUUUCUUAGAGCAAUGUCAUUUUUUUUUAAUAAAACCUGAGUUGGAUGGUUAAAUACUAUGUCUGGGUUAUAAUCAUAAGUACUUUUUCUCUGAGCACUGCCUCUGGCAGUGAUAUGUAACAGCUUUCCUUCUUGCUAUUUUUGAGAUAUUCUAUUUAAUUUAUUUAAGUUUUGGUUUGUUCUUGAACCUAAAAGUUGUUUAAGACACAGGCCUUUUAUUCAGCGAGUAGGGCUGUUAGUUUCCAGUUGUGUUUUAAAUGUCUACUUUUGUUGUCUUAUUGUAAAUCAAAAAUAAAAUUCUAAGCCCCUCGACCAUCUGAACAGACCCCUCCUUUUAGCCAGGGGCCAAAGUUAACCUGAAAACUUAGUUCAGGCUGUGAUGGGAGCAGGGAGCUGGACGUGCCUCAUUAUCCCUCCUCCCUUUUGGAACUACUGAUAGAACAGACUCGUUAACUCUGAUAAGAAACAUUUACAGUCUAUUUUCUCUGAAGCCUGCAACCUGAAGGCCUCACUUGCGUGAUAAAACCUUAGUCUUCACAACUCCUUAUCUUAACCCAGAUGUUCCUUUCUAUUGAUAAUAACUGUUUCAACCAAUUGCCAAUCAGAAAAUCUUUGAAUCUGCCUACGACCUGGAAGCCCCCUCCCCCUUCUCAUUGACCCACCUUUCCAGACUGAACCAACACAUCUUAGUGUACUGAGAUGCAUCUCCUUUGAGUGUAUAAAACCAGGCUGUGCCCCGGCCACCCUGGGCGCAUGCCCUCAGGGUCUCCUGGGGCUGUGUCACGGGCCAUGGUCAUUCGUAUUUGGCUCAGAAUAAAUCUCUUCAAUUAUUUUACAGAGUUUGACUCUUUUCAUCAACAGUGUUAGCAGUGACCAGCCAGAGAGACAAGGGGAGGGAAGAAGAAAUGAGUUCUCCCAUACAGCCCACCUCCUCCACUGCCCACACGGCCAUUCCCUGCUCUGACCAGUGUCCCCAGGCAUCUGGGGUUUGGAGUGGAACCUACCAUGCCUGCUGGUUCACUAUUUUCUCAGAGCUGUUUAAAAAGAAAAAAAGAAAAAAAAUGACCACAACGAAACUGCUAAACCACCUGAUAAUUAAAGCAAGAAAAACAAAUCAAAGAAAAUGUCAAUGCACAAAAUUAGGACUGGGAACGUGAGACUGACCACAGACAGAGAGAAUUAAAGUGCUUGAUGCUCAGAUCCUUGGAUAAUGUUUUGCACAACUCUUUGCUAAUGAUUUGAAGUUAGGAGGCAAUGCAGCUUUUAAGGAAAAUUAAGAUGGGCAGGGUGGACUUUUGGAUGGCCCAGUGACUGUGGAUAAACUGGGAGAGCUCCGGGUGAGACCAGAGCUGAAGAGAGGUCCGUGGAUCUCACUUCCCCAGCAGGGCAUCCACAGCCAUCUCAAGAGGAUGCAUCCUUCCUCCAUGGGACUCCGGGAUUUUCUGGCUUUCCAGGGCCUGCAUUUCAGAGGGCAGGCUUUUCCUGCCCUGCCACACCCUGCAGUACCUGCACCUGCACCCCUUCCUGCAUGCCGCCCUCUCUCUCUGCACACCUCAGCUGGGAGGGAGGAGAAAGAACAGAGUGAGUGAUCCCUAUUUGUGGGAUUUCAGGACAUUGGCAAAAGCUUCCAUUCCAAAUACAAUAUCCAGCCCCCUCUGAGUGGUGUCUAACCUCCACACUUAGAGACUUUUUCCUUUGACUGAAGCAAAACCAUGCUGCCACUCACUUCUCAGGGGGUGCCAGCCCUGGGAAGGGGUGUUCCUGGAAAGGUCUGCACACUGGGCUGCACAAGGUGUUUCCCUCCAAGAGUGGAGAAGAGUGGGGUUUGGAGUCCUCACGCUCCAGGGUCAUGGCCGCUGAGACUGGAGGAGCUGCAUUAGUCCCGUCUGAAUUCCGUGAUUUGGGCAGAAUUGCACUUGCCACGUUGAGCACACGCUCCAGCA